rnacentral:rRNA from 1 species
CCUANGGGUGGCUGCAGUAAGGAAUAUUGCGCAAUGGGCGAAAGCCUGACGCAGCGACGCCGCGUGGGGGAUGAAGGUCUUCGGAUUGUAAACCCCUUUCGGGAGGGAAGAUGGAACGAGCAAUCGUUCGGACGGUACCUCCAAAGGAAGCACCGGCUAACUCCGUGCCAGCAGCCGCGGUAAUACGGAGGGUGCAAGCGUUGUCCGGAAUCACUGGGCGUAAAGGGCGCGUAGGCGGCUGGGUAAGUCACGCGUGAAAUUCCGGGGCUCAACCCCGGAACUGCGUGUGGGACUGCCUGGCUAGAGCAUGGUAGAGGCGAGCGGAAUUCCAGGUGUAGCGGUGGAAUGCGUAGAUAUCUGGAAGAACACCAGUGGCGAAGGCGGCUCGCUGGGCCAUUGCUGACGCUGAGGCGCGAAAGCGUGGGGAGCAAACAGGAUUAGAUACCCCANUANUC